AAUAAAUUAAGACUAAAUAGUUCAGAUUACACAGGGAGAGUAUCCCGAUGUACUGAAUGAUUGUUGGCACCAGUACGCAGUAUAGGUGACAUUUUUAUUAUUGGAUUUGACACUUCUACUAUUGGAUUAUGACGUCGAGCAUGGCAACCUCAGUGAACCAAAAUUUGACUUCCGGAAUUGCUGGGGCUCGUUAUGGGCUCAGAUGUGGGCUAACAAGUGUUGGUAUGCUGUCCACGGCUUCGUAAAAUUUGGAGAUUGGGAUUCCGAGCGUGGGAGCGCGUAUGGCGGCAAAACGCUCGGUAGGAAUGGCCCGAAAUUCUGCAAUGUCUAUGUAGACAUUGUAGUUGAAACAUUCCCAUACCCAAACAAACGGUGUACCUAUCGAGAUGAGCUCGGCGCUGGAAUUGCUGCAAAAGCUUAUUUAACGCCCACCUAUAAAUAAACGUCCUCCCUCGAAUCGAAGCUCUCUUUAAGAAUACCAAAUGAGCACCCCUUGCCAUUCCCUCGAGUGUUUCGAUGGCUCUCUUGACAAUGACCCUUGAGAGUAGCGACAAGGAUAUCGAACAAGGAAAACCUGCCCAUAGAAUCCUUUUCACGAGCCAAACUUAUAAACGCACCGGUUCUCGUUAUUCUUUCACUCCUAGGUCAGAACAUUAAGUUGGAAUACGGCGACUAUUAUCAGAAAAAUCCAACUGAUGGUGUCCAAGAUUGGUUCGAUGAGAGACAGCACUACACGUAUGGCAAGCACAGCCCAAGAAACUGCAGACGCCCUUCUUGCGGACAUUACACGGCGAGUGUCCAUUGAAAUGCCAGAAUGGAGGUAAAUUAGACGGUGAAACAUGCACGUGCACUUGCAAGGAUGGAUACAAGGGAGCCGACUGCGCAGAUAAACUCUGCAGUCCUGGAAAAUACGGAUGGAACUGUGAAAAAACGUGCAAGAACAAAAUGUCUGACGAAGGCUGUAAAAGUAAACCCGGGUCGAAAAAAUGCGACGAUCCAACAGUUUAUUAUUUGAAGUGUCACUAAAAUUACGAUUUUAUAGUGUACACAGACAAUGGAAAGCAUUUAAUACCGACAGCAAAGCUCAAUUUAGAUUCGCUUGCCCUUUCUCAACAAAUAUAGAAUACUUUGAACUCACUAGGGAGACAAUUUACUUGGUUAUUUGAAUAAAUUGAAAACAGUCGGGCAUUUAGUCCAUCCAAGACCUGUCCCGACUGUCGGGCAUACAGCCACUGCGAAAAAAAACCCGGCACUUUUAGCGGGGGCGAAUCCACGAAAAAUUCAGCCCUUUA